UACGAAGGGGGCUAGCGUUGCUCGGAAUUACUGGGCGUAAAGCGCACGUAGUCGGCUUUGCAAGUCGGGUGUGAAAUCCCCGGGCUUAACCUGGGAACUGCAUUUGUGACUGCAUGGCUGGAGUGCGGCAGAGGGGGAUGGAAUUCCGCGUGUAGCAGUGAAAUGCGUAGAUAUGCGGAGGAACACCGAUGGCGAAGGCAAUCCCCUGGGCCUGCACUGACGCUCAUGCACGAAAGCGUGGGGAGCAAACAGG
rnacentral:rRNA from 1 species